UACCAGCACCCCGAGUGGUCGGGACGUUUAUUGGGCCUAAAGCAUCCGUAGCCGGUUCUACAAGUCUUCCGUUAAAUCCAGCUGCUUAACAGGUGGGCUGCGGAAGAUACUAUGGAGCUAGGAGGCGGGAGAGGCAAGCGGUACUCGAUGGGUAGGGGUAAAAUCCGUUGAUCCAUUGAAGACCACCAGUGGCGAAGGCGGCUUGCCAGAACGCGCUCGACGGUGAGGGAUGAAAGCUGGGGGAGCAAACCGG
rnacentral:rRNA from 1 species